rnacentral:rRNA from 1 species
CCCUUAGAUGUCCUGGGCCGCACGCGCGUUACACUGAUGCAUUCAACGAGCUUAUAACCUUGGCCGAGAGGCCUGGGCAAUCUUGUUAACGUGCAUCGUGAUAGGGAUAGAUUAUUGAAAUUAUUAAUCUUGAACGAGGAAUUCCUAGUAGACGUAGUUCAUCAGACUGCAUCGAUUACGUCCCUGCCCUUUGUACACACCGCCCGUCGCUCCUACCAAUUGAGUGAUCCGGUGAAUAAUUCGGACUGCUGCAAUGCUUGGAUCCCGAGAAUUGCGGCGGAAAAGUUUAGUGAACCUUAUCACUUAGAGGAAGGAGAAGUCGUAACA